ACCUGGAUUUUCAAAAAUGUCUUCUAAUUUUCUGUUCUUAAUUUUUGAACCUCAAUUUUAGAUACUUAAGGCCCAGUACUGACAUCAAUUGGGUCUGUAGGUUCUUGAGUCUUCUUAAAAAAAAAGUAUAAAUCUGGAUCCCCAAAUUAGAUAUUUAUGGACUUAAAAAGGCCCGUCCUAAAUCUGAGAAUGUCUCAGUAGCACUUGCAGAAGUAGAUCUCCAGUCUGACUCCCUGGCUUAUGAUCAGUCUCCUCACACUGCCCAUAUCCAUCCUAAUGCAGAAUUCUGGAGUGAAAGACACUGCGAGACACACUUUUGCUACUUUUUAAUUCAGAGCAAUGAUUUCUCUAUUUAAUAUAUAACAGAAGGCUAUAUUAAUUUGAAUGUUAUUUUUCUUUGGAAUAAAGUGCAGAUUGUAUAUAUUUAAUGUGCCUAAAUAGGGCAGUAAGUACCAUAUUGUAUCUUUUAUCCCUUACUAGUUUAUUUCCUGACUAAGCAGUAUGUCUAGAAAAAUCAGCAUAUGCUGAAGAUUACAAGGCACUUUUGGCCCUAUGGUUCCCUAUGAUCCGUAACAAAGCUACAGAUUGAGAGAAAAACAAUCACCAACCACGAGAGAGAAAGAGAUGCUAUUUCCUGUUCGAGAAGUAGGACAGAAGCCAAGGAGCAAAACAGUAUUUAACUGGAGCAGAGAAGCACCACAUACCAAGAUUUUGUAGCCUGAAUAUUGCGGAUGCAUGCCUCCUGAAAAUUAUAAAGGAUUCCUAGAAUAGUUAUUCCCAGUAGCUGCCAAUUCUACUGAUUCGGUGUCAGGAUACUGUUUUUAUCAGUAACCUACCAGAUUUUCAGUUGUGUGGCCUCAUACACUGCAAGCCCACUAUUUUCUGGUUGUAGCAGACUCAAAGCACAUGUGAUGUAUGGCCAAUCUGUCCAGGCGUAGAAAACCCAGGGUGUCCAGAACAUAUUGUACUUGUGGUGCAUGCACAGUUCAUCAGCGCAUGCACAGUAGGUCCCCCAGGACUCCUACUGUUUUCUUCAUUAAAAAUGUCAAUCUCAACAUUAUGAAACCUUAUCUCUCAGUCUUUCCUUGAAGACUCUGAAAAAGACUUUGAUGAUAUCACUAGAGACGUCACAUGAGGUCAUAUUUUGCGUGGCAGCUCGCUAGCCAGC
rnacentral:lncRNA from 1 species